AAAAGCACAGAUCCCCGCCUCGGCAGCCACGAGACACCUGCAUCUGCCAACAAGACUGGAAGCAGGUGAGGCACACAGAGGGGGAGGCCCACAGCUGCGUGGGAGGAGGGGUGGUCUGAGGGACAUGGGAUGCCGGGAAUUAGGCUGGUUUGCAGGUCGGCGCAUGGACAUUUUCCCAGGAACGGACAGAGACGGCGAAGUUUGACGGUCUGGAAAGCAGAGAUCAGCGGGGCUGACUGCUUGGGAGCACCAAGUAUCCGGACAGCGCCUCUCGGGGGUUCCAAGGAGAGAACCGCGAUCUGUUUCAGCACCGGGGCUCAGGACAGUUCCCAGAAGGCUCCGUUUCGGCGCCAGAACCCUGGACAGCUCCCCCAGUAGAGACGGGGUUUCACCAUGUUGGCCAGGCUGGUCUCAAACUCUUGACCUCGUGAUCCGCCCACCUCAGCCUCCCAAAGUGCUGGGAUUAUAGGUGUGAGUCACCGCACCUGACCCAAGUCCGGAACUUUCAACAGGACAUGGGUGUUACUGUGCCCAGGUGACAUUUGGGGAACCCAAGGCCCCGAAAAAGGCAGAAAAAUAACCCACGCAGGGACUCUCAGCCCACAAGUGAAGCUGAGAACCGGGAAUGGAAAACAGGGAGGCAGCACAGAGGCAGGAAGCCCAGGUGUCACAGCUUGGCUCAGGUGUGAUGGCUCACACUUGUAAUCCCAGCACUUUGGGAGGCCAAGGUGGGAGAAUAGCUUGAGCUCAGGAGUUCGAGACCAGCCUGGGCAACAUAGCAAGACCUCAUCUCAAUAAAAAAAUAAAUAAUAAAUAAAAAAGACUCACCCCCAAUUCUCUGCAACACCCUAAUCGAGUGACAAACUCCACAUGGUACCUGUUCUCCAGCCUCAGGGCUUUUGCCUUUGCUGUUCCUGCAGCUUGGACUCCCCCCACCUCCACCCAGAGCUCCCCACAACUGACCCUGCCUUCUUCUGCAAGCUCCAUUUCAUCAAAGGAAAUGAUCCUUAUUACCUCACCAUUGCCCACGUGAAGUCUGUAUUGACAUUCUCAUAGACCUAGGAUAUUGUGUCUACAGCACAUAGUCCAGUUAUUUUCAUGUUAUCUACUGACAGGUCUAUUUGUCUCCCUGUUACACUGUGAGCUCCGUGAGGACAGAAACAAUGUUUGUAUUUUCACUGCUGUAUCCCCAGUGCCUGGUCCAGGGCCCGGCACACAGCAGGCGUACAAUAAGCAUGUGUUGAAUCAAUAAAGGCAUCAAAGAAUAAACCAAUACAUCAA